GUUCUCGUGCGUGUUGGGGUCGAAGAAGCCCUUGGUGUCGUCGCUCGGGUCCGCCAGCACGCGGUUCAUCUCCUCGUCGAAGUAGCCGCGCUGGUAGGCCACCUCCACGGGCACGCGGUGGCUGUGCACGGGGUCGAUGAUGCCGCCCGUGGCGAUCUGGGCCUCCAGCAGGCGGAUGCCGUGGUCCCUCACGAUGAGGUCCUUCUUCAUGGCCUGGAAGAGGGAGAUCUGCUCCCCGGUGUAGGGGUCGGUGUAGCCGGUGACGGCGCGCUCGGCCGACAGCAGCUUCUGGUAGGUUUCCCGGCCAAACAUCCCGGCUGCAAAGGCCUCCUCCACGGUCAGCUUCUGGUUUUCCACGGGGUCAAUGAGGAAGCCAGUGGCCGCCUGGGCCUCCAGCAGUACCAGGGCUGUGCCCGGCCGCAGGACGUGCCUCCUCAGGGCCUCCGAGAUGCUCAUCCUUUCCUUUGUGCCCUGGACAAGGACCCCGGCGAUGAAGUUGCCUCCUUCCAAGAACUGCCUCACGCUGUCCAUCUCUGUCACCUCUUGCACAGUCUUCCUCCCCUGAUUCAGCUCGUCCAGUGUCUUCUUGUCGAUCAGCUGGGACCUGAACAGGUCGCUGGCCGACACCUGCUUCCGGAGACCUCUGAAGGCAGCCCUUGAAGGCUGCCUUUCUGAGGCCUCAACCAGGGCAGUGACCGCGCUGACCACCUGCCGCAGGGCUGUGGCCCUCCCAGACUGGCAGAGCACUGCCAGCUCCCGCCGUUUUUGGAUGCUGACGUACUCUGAGUGCAGCAGGUCCCAGAGCGACACGCUGAGGCCCUUGAACCUUCCCGUGCUGACGGGCACCUUCAUGGCCCUCAGGGCCACCGCUGUGUGGUUGUCCACCUCGAGCGCCACGUCCUCGGGAAGUGGCAGCAGCCACAGGCCGGUGUCGGCAUCCAGGACACAGCGCUCCUUGAGCUGCUGGUAUGACACCCUGUCCCGCGUGCUUGGGUCGAAGAAGAACUUGCUGUCCUCGUCUGUCGUGGUCAGCGCCUGGCAUGUCGGCUCGUCCAGGAGGCCAAGUCUGCAGGCUGCCACCUGGGGCAGGUGCACCCCGUGGACGGGGUCCACCACACCCCCUGUGGCCAGCUGCGCCUGCAGAAGGGGGAAGCCCUCACUCUGGGGCAUGAGCCCCUUCUCCAUGGCCUGCCACAGUGAGAGGGUGCCCCCCGAGUAGGGGUCCGUGUACCCAGCCACUGCUGCCUCAGCCUGCCGCAGCUGCUCACCCAGUGCCCCAUCCACCAGGCCAGCCUGGACUGCACCUUCCACUGACAGUCUCUGGUUGGUCAGAGGGUCCACAAGGGAGCCAGACGCCACCUGGGCCUCCAGCAGUCUCCGCCCCAGGCCCACAGGCAGGAGGCCGUCCCUCAUGGCCUGGGCGAUGCUUGCCUUGGCACCUGAGGGCUGCAGUAGGACGCCCGCCACACAGCCCGUGCCCCACAGGCAGGCCUUCACCUCAGGCUGCUCAGCGACCUCAGCAGGUGACCGUGCACCCUGAGCCAGUGCCAACAGGGCCUCCUGGGUGAUGACGCCAGCAUCCAGCAGCCAGACAGCAGGGAUCUCGCCCCGAGGGCCAGGCAGCGUGACGCGGGCCUGCGCCAGGAGCUCUGCCUCCUGCACCCACCUCCUCACGGCUGCCUGCAGCUGCUGCAAGGUGGUCUUCCCCACCCUAAAGUCCUCCAAAAAGCCCCUCCGCUGCUCCUCGGUGAAGUGGCAGGAGUCCAGCAGCUCCCAGAGGGACGUGCCAUCUUUAGCCCCCUCUGUGGCCUGCAGGGUCUCCCGCAUCUGCUCGUCUGUGGGAACAGUGGGAGCACUUUCUGGCAGGGGCAGGAGGCGAAGGCCAGAGGCCUCGUCCCUCAGACACUGCUCCAGAAGCCCAGCGUAGCUGGUGUGUCCCCGGCCGUCUGGCGUGGGGAAGGUCUCAGAGGAGCUGGACAAGGCCAUCUCCAUGUCCUGGUCGAUGCAGCCACGCUGGGUGGCCACGGACAUGGGGAGGUGGUAGUGGCCGGUGGGGUCAAUCACUCCUCCUGUGGCCACCUGGGCCUCCAGGAAGCGGGUAGCCUGCUCCACAGGGACAAGGCCCUUCUUCAUGGCCUGGAACAGGGACACUCGCUUCCCAGAGAAGGGGUCUCUGAAGCCGGUGACGGCAUCCUCGGCCUGUCUCAGCCUGCCAUACAGCUCCGGCCCCACCAGCUCCCUGCACACGGCCUCAUCCACCGACAGGGUCUCCAGACUGUGGGGGUCAAUAAUGGCUCCAGUGGCUGCCUGGGCCUCCAGCAGGGCCAGGGCCACUCCUGGCCCCAGCAGUUUCUGCUGCAUGGCCUGGUAGAGACCGAGCCGCUGGUUGGAGGGCUGUAACAGCACGCCACCCACGGAGCCGGAGCCACGCAAGUACCUGUGGACACCGUCCAUGUGGAGGAGAUCCUCGGGGCUGACUGCCCCCACUAGCACCCGGUCCAGGAGCUCUUGGUCAAUGAUGUGGGCCUCCAGGAGCUGGUAGGCGGUAACCCGGCCCCGCAGCGCAGGCAGGGUGAUGUCCGCCCACCUCCCCAUCUCUCUCUCCAGCAGCUGUGCAACCUGCUCCAGUGAGACCUUGCGCAGCCGGUAGUCUCGCAGGAGCUGCCUCCUCCGGUCCUCACUGAAGCGUUCCGAGUUGAUCAGCUCCCACGCAGAGACCCUCUGCCCCUGGAACCGCCCAUACUUCACUGACAGCAACAGGCUCUGGAAGGCCUGCCGGGUGGCGCCGUCCACCAGUUGGGGCUUUGUGCUGCUGAGCCGCAGCAGGAAGAGCCCUGAGUCGGGGUCAUGCAUGCAGCGCUCCAGCAGCUGCAUGUAGGUGAGGUUCUCGUGUGUGUUGGGGUCGAAGAAGCCCUUGGUGUCGUCGCUCGGGUCCGCCAGGAUCAAGUUCAACGUCUGGUCGAAGUAGCCGCGCUGGUAGGCGACCUCCACGGGCACGCGGUGGCUGUGCACGGGGUCGAUGACGCCGCCCGUGGCGAUCUGGGCCUCCAGCAGGCGGAUGCCGUGGUCCCUCACGAUGAGCUCCUUCUUCAUGGCCUGGAAGAGGGGGAUGCGG
ensembl:lncRNA